rnacentral:rRNA from 1 species
UACGAAGGGUGCAAGCGUUACUCGGAAUUACUGGGCGUAAAGCGUGCGUAGGCGGUUUGUUAAGUCUGUCGUGAAAGCCCUGGGCUCAACCUGGGAAUUGCGAUGGAUACUGGCAAGCUAGAGUACGGUAGAGGAUGGUGGAAUUCCCGGUGUAGCGGUGAAAUGCGUAGAGAUGUGGAGGAACACCGAUGGCGAAGGCAGCCCCCUGGGCUAAGAUUGACGCUCAGGCACGAAAGCGUGGGGAGCAAACAGG